ensembl:lncRNA
AAGAUGAGUUAAGAGAGCAAGCCUCUUUUUUAACUUUAAGUGAGUUUAUGUUUAAAUUAAAAAAAAAAAAAGUCUAAAUCAAGACUAAAUAUCUGUUAAUAGGGUCAGAAAAUAAUACUGUUUUCCUUUUGAGUUAAAUUGAUUUUUCUGAUCCCAUUGACAAAUAUUUGUUCUCAACUUAAACAUAAACUCACUUCAUUUUGAGACAGUUUUUCUUUCUUUUAGAAAACAAGACUUAAAAAAACAAAACAAAAAAAACAAUACCUGAAUAAAAAUGUGUAAUUCUAAAUAUCUGCAUAUACAGCAAAGUCUCUCUUUUCUUUUUCAGCAGAAUGAUUCAUGGUAAAGACUGAAGGUGUUUUACUAACCCUUACGAGUGUGUAAUACUCAUGAUGUGUUUUAGUCUUUCUUCCUGUUUCUGUCUGUCUCUCUCUCAACUUGUCUCUCUCUCUCUUGGGUACAAAGGAACGUAUUGUUUGAAACACUAACCAAUGAGACAAAACCGACCGCUGACAAACAUAUCUUUGUGUAUGUGUGUGUGUGUGAGAGAGAGAGAGAGAGAGAGAGAGUGUGUGUGUGUGUGUGUGUGUGUGUGUGUGUGUGUAUGUGUGUGGCACAAUAGCAGCUCAUUAGUAUUCCAAAGUGGAUAACGAUCCCCCCUCCACAAAUCUCAACCCACAGUCUUUCUUUCUUUCUUUCUUCCUUUCUUUCUUUCACAGUUUAACAUGCACUCAAAACACACAGAGUCAAACUCAGGAUUGUUUUGUAAGUUUUUCCACAGAUUUAGCUGUUUUCUUAACCCGAACCUGAGCGCAUCUGAUAGAUCAUUGCACUGCAACACCAAAGUAAGGCAUUUGUUCCCAGAACAUGAUAAAAUGAUGAAAUGCAUUGGAUAAAAGCAUCUUCAAAUGCAUUAAUAAGAACAACUUCCAUAACGUCUGUCUUUGAAGUGCUUAAUAAACACAAAUAUUGCAACUGUUACAAAGAUGUAUCAACUUUAUAUUGUUUCAUAUGUAUAACUCAAUAUUGCAGUGUAAAAAAAUAUUAUUUGAAAUUGUAAAUAAAAUAAAGAUUACUGAAGUACAUUUUACAAUAAAAUACUAUUUUAAUUUUUACUUAAUUCAACGUGUUAAUUUCAGUUUUUUAGUAAUUGUCUGGGUAAUUUGCUAUCAGUUUCUAGGUGAAAAUUGUUGCAAAGUUUUUUCAGUGUAUUGAGAAAAUAGAUGAAUCUGUUAGGAGAUACAGGUUGCAUGAUGUAUGCAGCACCUGUUGUUCAGAAGUUCUGAACUCUUUAACCAGGAGCGUCAUCAAACCCAUUCAGAAAGUUGAGUUUGCAUGAGUGCAUGUGAAAUCCAGCGUCUUACCUUGUCAUUCAGAGAGCUGCGAGGCUGCAGUCUAUUAACACAUGCGCUCAGGUGUUCAGAAGCUGAGAUUCAUCAGAUUCUACAUUCAGGUUUGCUGAUCUCAGCUACAUGUUGAUGUUCAGUAAACAAACUUUACUAAACAAGUUACUAAACAGAAGCUCUGCAGAAUGACUGAAUCUCUCAGGAGCAAUG